AGUGCUGUGUGUGAUGGGUGUGAGAGUGCUGUGUGUGAGAGUGCUGUGUGUGAUGGGUGUGAGAGUGCUGUGUGUGAUGUGAGUGAGAGUGCUGUGUGUGAGAGUGCUGUGUGUGAUGUGAGUGAGAGUGCUGUGUGUGAGAGUGCUGUGUGUGAUGGGUGUGAGAGUGCUGUGUGUGAUGUGAGAGUGCUGUGUGUGAUGGGUGUGAGAGUGCUGUGUGUGAUGGGUGUGAGAGUGCUGUAUAAAUGUUAGAAUGGAUUGUGUGU
rnacentral:lncRNA from 1 species